CGGUGCGGUGUCCGUUGACGGCCACGAGGUCUUCGCCGACGCCCGCUCGAUGGGCUUGGACAUCCGCUACGAGCUCGUGAGCGACGGACUGCCCGUGACCUUCGACAGGUACAUGCACCGGGAUCAAUUCUCCGAUGCCUUCUACCACCUGCUCCCCGCCCAUGUCGAGGAGCUGAUGCGGAAGCUCCUGCUCGCGGAGAACCCCAUCGACGUCCUCAUCUCCGACACCUUCGCCGUGUGGCCAUCGACCUUGGCCAAGAAGUUUGGGCUGCCUUAUGUCUCCUUCUGGACCGAGCCGGCGCUCGUCUUCGCCAUCUACUACCACAUGCACCUCCUCGUCGAAAAUGGCCACUUUGGCUCUCCUACCGGUUGGUAUACAUCCUUUGCUACGAACGUUCUCCUUCGUGAUGGAUCGAUCGAGCUUCUCAUGUUUGUACAUGGUGACCGAACAGAGACUCGCAAGGAUACCAUCACGUACAUACCCGGCGUGCCGUCCAUCGAGCCGACGGACCUCGUGUCGUUCUUUCACGCGCCGGAGGCGUCAUGGCGGCUGCUCAGGAACGUCGGUAAGGCAUUCGAGGAGGUCAAGGGGGCCGACUUCGUGCUGUGCAACACGGUGCAGGAGCUCGAAGUGGAGGUCAUCGGGGCGCUGCAGCAGGAGUGGCCAUUCUACGCCGUGGGGCCCAUCGGUCCCGACUCCGGCGAAGGCGGGGCAGCGACCAGCCUAUGGCCCGAGCUGGAUUGCUCGCAGUGGCUCCACUCCAUGCCGCCGCGCUCCGUGCUCUAUAUUUCGUUCGGAAGCAUCGCCCCGGUUAGCAAGCGGGACACGGACGAGAUCGCCUACGGAGUCCUCGACAGCAAAUCCCGCUUCAUAUGGGUGAUUCGGCCAGGAAGCGGGAGCACCUCGGAGGCCACCCCCCCACUUCCCGAGGGGUUCAUCGAUGCAUGCAAAGGGAGGGGGAUGGUGGUGCCAUGGUGCCGUCAGAAGCAAGUCCUGCAGCACCCGGCGGUGGGCGGCUUCCUGACGCACUGCGGGUGGAACUCGAUCCUGGAGAGCAUGUGGUGCGGCGUGCCGAUGCUGUGCUUCCCACUGUUUUCGGACCAGCCGACGAACCGGAAGAUGGUGGUGGAGGACCUGAGGAUAGGGAUCGAUGUCGGAAGUAUCGGCGAGGUGAGCAGGGCGGAAGUCUCGAGGAGGAUCGACAGCCUGAUGGGAGGAGGAGUAGGCGGUGCGCUGAGGAAGGAGAUGGAGGAAGCUCAACGGGCGGUCAAGAGUGCGGUGACUCCGACUGGUUCGUCAAGCAAGAACAUGGAGCAGUUCACUGUCGAUCUGCUGAAACAUCUGUCGGAAAAGAAGCGAGAGCAAUAGACGCGUUGGUGUGAUGGACAUGGAAAGUGUCCUAAUUCUUUGCUGCACGCAGAUCUACUUUUGAUGUUCGAUUGUUGAAGAGGCGAGUGGUUCUCAAAAGGAUGUUUGAUUGUUCCCAUGAUAAUGGAUUAGUGUUUGUUAUUGUGGAUGUGAUGAAGAUUUGAAGAAGACUAUUCAUAAUUUGAUAAUGAGAUUGAGAAGUGAAUAAAAACCUAAAUUGAAAUAAUUACUCAGUUACUGAGUUGGAAUCCAAUUCAAAUAAUUAUUUUCGUAUUUGAACUUAUUUUAAAUUCGAGCAUCUAAACCUCCUGUUGUCAUCGUCAUCGCAUGACAAAAUCAUAAUGUAUAGAAUAUCGAUAACUUUCACUACCUGCAUAUUGAUUUUUACAGUCGAAUCCGUCCCAAUUCGAUUAAAGGAAAUCAAAUUUAGAUCAAUGGGAUAGAUUUAAGUAACACGGUCAACCAGGGGGCCACCAACUCCCGAGGCAUCUCCACCACACAGCAUGGAAAGGGUCGAAUACCAUGUGCGGCACUCGCCGUUGAAGGGACACAUGCGGUCCCGAAGUAUUAUUGACGUUAAUUCGACGAAGGCCCCACGAGGCUUCCCCACCGCAACGAAAGAGUCAAAUGCAACAUGCUGUUGAAUGUCCACGUGCCGUCCCAAAAGUCUUAUUGAAGUUAACUCACGCCAACCGAGACGGCGAAGACAUGGUGAUGAUGUCUCCUCGUGGUCAUCUCUCUCAAAACCAUGUCGACAUACAUGAUUGAACCUUGGAGUGCAGGGUGAUCUACAAUUCAUUUCGAUUGUGGCUGUACUUGUUAGAAGUCUCGGAAGCAGAAUUGUAUACUCUGACCUCGGUCAUUGUAUCAGAUGCUGUCUCCAUUUAUCGUUUUUAUGAACGGUAUUUUUUUUUUAUAUUAUGAUCAAAAUAUUUUCUAUAAAUCAAAUAAGGAUAGACAACAACAGUUGAUUCUGUUUGACUCUGUUUUUUAGACUGAAUUUUCAUAUGAACUAGAUCAGAUUGGUUUAAAAUAAAUUAACUAUUUGAUUUAUUUAAUUUAGUCUAAAUUUAUUUUUUUUUCUAAUUAUCUCAUUAAAACCCAAUUGACAAAUUUAACAAGAACAAGACGUUAUCGUUGCUAACCAUCUUGUCAUUGGUCACCGUCAUCGUUGGCAACUGAAAUAUUAUUCCGUAAUCUAGUGGUCAAAAGAGUCAUAGUCAACACCUUCCCACUGGGCCUUAGUAGUCGUGAUGACCUUCGUAGGGCAGGAGGCCAUCAUCAUCAUCUCGAUGAGCGUUAGUGGCUGCAAGGUCCAUUGUCGGGGCAGGAGAUCAGGCUCACUUUUCCACUAAGCCUCGGUGGUCGCAAUCAACAUUAUCGGGUAAGAUGUCACCCUUAGUGUCACCAACAGUGCAGGAGGUCACUGUGGCCUUCCCACCAAUAGAAUAUCCACCUUCCCCUUAGCUGUCUCUGUGGUUGAUUGCUGAGCCUGGGUCAUUGGUGGGCCAAUAGAGUUAUAGCCUAGUCAUCAUCUGCUAUCAACAAAGCCUUACGGAGUCUCAGUGAUCAAUGGUUCAUCGUUACAACCCCAUUUAGUUUUUAUAUAUCUUUUACUGAAUCAUGUAUUAAUGAAGUAUUUAUAAUAUCACGACAUCAUUCUUCGUAGUGUCAUUGAAGUGCCAUCUACAUUGACCCAUCGUUUAGUGCACCAUCCAAUCAUUCACUGUAAUAACAAAAAAUGUAUGAUUGAGAUGAAUAUGUAUUUCUAGUUUAGUAUUAUUAGGCCAGAAGGAAAAAAAUUACGAUGAUAGAAUCAAGAUAUAAUGACAAGAUCCCUACAAGGUGUUCAAUGUAUCAACAAUUAUAUCACAAUCAAUGGUUAUGCAAAUUUAUGUAUCAACAAUUAUAUCACAAUCAAUGGUUAUGCAAAUUUACAUUGGUUGUACAAGUUGACGUUAUUGAAUGUCGUAUCUUCGAUCUUUUUGUAUAGUGUAGUUUUUGUUUUUUUUAUUACUUACAUUGGCUAUAGAAGGCAAUUUUUUAUGCAUAGAAUACAUAUACAAGCAUAUCUAUAUAAUUUUUUGGCAAAUAUGUCACAACUUUACGAAGCAUUGUAAUUUUUUGCUAAUUUUGAAUCUGAAGUUAUUAUUUUACAGUUAAUGUUACAAUCUUUGUUAUAUUUACAUUUUAGUUGAAUUGAUGUUACCAUUUUGCUAAUUUUUGAAGUGGAUUUUAAUUUAGUUAUGAUAUUCUUUAAUUGAGUUAUACUUGAGUUAUGAAUUAGAUACAAUUAUGAUUUAACUUUCCAAUCACUAAGUAUCAAAUUCCAUUAAAUGCACUAAAAUUAUAAAAAAAAAAUAAUUUUAAUUGUCUUUACAAUCAUGUCAUAGCUGAUAAGUUUCGAUCAAUUUGAUUAAAUUUAACUCUAUUUAUAUUUAUGUUACACUCAAGUUACACUUGAUCAUAGUGUAACAUUACCCAGUUGCCAUGAUACUGUUAAGCAAACAAUGAUACUACCUAUAUCUAGUGGUCUACUGACUAUGGGUGAUGACAUUGCCCCAGACCAAGGGAUAGUAUUGUCCAAAACUACAAUACCCUUUUUGAAUAUUUUAAAUUUAUUUAAAAAUCAGAAAAAAAAAUAAUAUAAUAAUAUUAGAAUCAUAUUAUGAUAGUUAUAUAGAAGUUUAGAUAGGCUUGAUAAAAUUUUUUUUGAGUUAUACUCGAGUUAUACUCGUGUUACACUCCAGAUCACAGAUUCAAAAUGCAAAUCUCCUAUUUGGAUAAUUAAUCAUCUUAGAGUCAAAAGAAAUUAGAACAAAUGAUACUAAACAUACUACAAUCAUAUUAGGAUAUUUAUAGAAAAAUUUUAUUAAGUGAAAAUAUUUUGAAUUACACUCAAGUUGUACUCGAUCAUACAUACAAAACAUAAAUAUCUUCUUUAGACAAUUAGUCAUCCUAAAAUAAAAAAAAUAGAAAAGGUGAUACUAAAUAUACUAGAAUCAUAUUAUGAAAAUUAUAGAAUAGUUUGGUUAGGUUUUGUAAAAAUUUCUUGAGUCAGACUCUGUUACACUCAAGCUAUACUCAAGUUACAAAUUCAAAACAAAAAUCCCCUAUUUUGAUAAUUAAUCAUCAUAAAAUAAAAAAUAUAUGAAAAAUAAUACUAAAGAAUCAUAUUAUGAUGGUUAUAAAGAAGUUUCAACAUAUUUAACGAAAAUUUUUUGAGCUAUGCUCGAGCUACUCAUGAUCAUAGAUUCAAUCAAAAGCAUCCUAUUUGGACAAUUAGCCACCAUAAAUUCAAACCAAUUAGGAUAAGUGAUACUAAACUUAUUAGAUCAUAUUAGGAUUGUUAUAGGGAAAUUUGGAUAGGCUUGAGAAAGAUUACUUGGGUUAUACUCACAUUACACUUGGCUUGCACUUGAUCACAAAUUCAACCCAAAGCACCAUAUUUCAAAAAGAAAACAUUCUAAAUUCGCACACAAGUGAGAACUAUCACAACCACAUAUAAUGAACUAUAAUAGAAAUACUUAUUCAAUAAUUACAAACUAAACACAUGAAAACAACUCACAACAACACUAAUCAAAUUGCCAAGAUGAUAUCAUAUAUUGUUAAACAAUUUAUAUAACAAUAGAGUCCAUCAUUAGAUGUUCCGCUACUUAACUCCAUUAUUUUAAAAUCAUUUAAAUAACUUUCUCUUCCUAAAAAAUUAUAAGCUUUGUUUUAGGGCUAGAUAUAGUUUCAGCUUAUGCUACUUACAGACUAUUGACGGAGUAGCCCUUGAUCAAUUCUUGGAUGUCACAUAAUGCACUGUGGAAGAAUGGAUUGGAUCCAAAUGAAUAAUCCUCUACGCCUAGGGUCACAAGAUGGCAAAGUCAAUGAUCUUCGAGUAUCUUUUAUAAUAAUUUAAUUUAAUUUUCGUUCUUUCUACACUUGGCAUAUUCUUGAUCUUUACCAACAUAUGUCAUAUAUAUAGUUUAAUAUAUUAAAUAAUAUAUCUUAAAUAUAUAAAUAAAAAUUUUAAAUUAUUAUAUAUCAAUAAUAUUAAGCGACAGUUGAUGAGACUCAAUAGUGGUUAGGGUGAGCACUUAAUAUAUCUGCAUAACAUGCAUAUAUAAUAGUUAUAAAGAAUAUGUCUAUAUUUCCAAAUGAACUCCUAAGUUAAUAAUUAUCUUAUUUUCAAUUAUUUACUAUAAUCUUAAGUCGAUAAUAUUCUAAUUACUAACAAACCUUAUCUCUAUAGUCAUGGAUGAUUAGAAUAAUGGGAUGACAUAAACAUAUCAACAUGCUCAUAUAGCCAUACCUAUCAAAAAAUUAGCAAAAUUAAGAAUUAAAACUAAUAUGUAUUGACCUUUUCAUAUGUACAUAGAAAAAUAAUAUUCGACUUAUAAUCAAAAGCGGUGUACGACCUCUCAAAUAUUCAAUCAUCGUGGUGCCACCCUCAAGCUUCAACUUCUUUAUACAAAUACCCAUAGUGGAAAUCUUAAUGACAAAGUAAGAAUAUAAAGUCAUCUCCCAGUUAUAGUUUGUAAACGAAUUCAAAUCAUCAACAUAAGAUAAUAACAACAUGAAGGAUGAAGUAUAGUUUGUUUGACGAAAAAAUAAAAAUAUGUAAAAUAUAUAAUCAACAAAAGUCAGCAAUGCCAAUAUAAUUAUCACUAGACACCAACCUAUACAUCAUAUCUAUAUUUUAUCUAUUAGGAAGCUGAUCUCUAAAGUAUUUCUCAAAUAUAUAACCCAAACUUGUUACUUCAUCAUCUAGAACUUAUCUACAAUCGGGAACCCCCAAAUCAUAGUAACAUUGCUCAGCCUAAACUUAAUUGGGACAAUGCCAAAAGUAAAAGUGGAUCCCUCUUUCCAAUACUAUAAAAUACUAUAUAGAGUAUAUCAACACAUAGAAUUGUUAGAAAUAUUUAUUAUACGAUAAAAAUGUGUCCUCAUAAGAACAUGAAGAUGACACAGCUUAGGGGAAAUAUAUAUAAUGUGACAUCGAUUCCUACAAGUAGAUUAACGGACAAAACAUUUAAAAUGGUCGAUGUAACAAUGAUUAUUAAUUAUAUAUUACAGAGGAGGUGACGUAGUUGAGGAAACAUAGGGGUGGCGACUAAAGGGGUGACAUAGGAGGCGGUAAUGUAGGACUGGAUGACAAUGCUUCUCUUGAAUACUUCCACUAAGUUUACUAAUAUAGACCCACGACGUUGACAUCUCAAUAACAAAAAAUUUACCAAUAAAAAUCUUCUUUUAGUUUUAGAUUAUCAAUCUUCUCUUGUUUUAUCAAAAACUGACUAAGCCCUUACAUAGUAUGAAAACCUGUAAGGAAUGUCAAUAAGAUUAGCACACAUACUUGCAUCAAUGAGACAAACUAGUUUUUAAAAAAAUUUGUUUUAAAGGAGAAGUUUAUCGUCGGAGAGGAGAGGAUGUCGUCAUCGACAAAGACAUUGUUGUUGGUAUCCAAAGAGGUAAUGAGGUCGCUACCGAUGUGAAUAUCAGAUAGGAGCAUAGGAGUACUCCAUCGAAGAGAAGCAAAAGAGUUUGUCAUUACUACUGAGAGGAGGAUGCCAUAGCUAUUCAUAAAUAUCAAAGAGGAGCAGAGAAAUUAUAGCGGAGAUGUCAUCGCUUUUCACAAAUACUGGAGAGAAAUAUAGGACUUUGUCAUUAUCAUUCUUUGUCAGAGACUGCAGAGGAAUUUGUAGCCAUUAGAGAGAGGAUGCCGCCGCUAUAGAGGAGCAAAGGAGGGAGAGGAUCGCUAAUCAUUGCCAAUUACACUGGUAUGGUGCAACCAUCAUAUAAAUCAUUUGAUUCAAACUUGACUUAAUUUGCUUUGCAAGAUCCAACCCGAAUCCAUUUGAACUAGACCACAAUCAUGACCGAACCGAACCAGCCCUUCCAUUGGUCAGAUUUGAAUUAGGCUUCUCAAUUGAAUAAAAAGGAUCAAACCAAUUUUGGGAGUAUUUUUGAUAUUUUAAAUAAAACGGUGCCCAGUUAAAAACCAAAUACAAAGGCGCUAUUAAACCUUUAUUAUUAAAGAUUUUUCUGAAUAAUUUAUCCUCGAAAGAAUCUAAUUUGAAAUUUAUAUUUAAUAUGUUGGAUUGAGUGAUGUGCAGGUGGUCACCGUCCGCAAGGUUUCACAGCAAAAACGGUAAAAGAAAAAUGGCCGAUUCGGAGGGAAUCACCAAGCACCACGCCCUCUUCGUGACCGUGCCCUUCCAAGGCCACUUCACGCCGGCCGCCAACUUCGCUGUCAAGCUCGCCGCCAGGGGCUUCAUCGUCACCUUCGUCACCACUGAGGGGUUCCACCACCAGCGCGCCGCAUCCGGUGCCGUGUCCGUUGACGGCCACGAGGUCUUCGCCGACGCCCGCUCGAUGGGCAUGGACAUCCGCUCCGAGCUCGUGAGCGACGGCCUGCCCGUGUCCUUCGAUAGGACCUUGCAUCGGGAUCAAUUCUCCGAUGCCUUCUACCACCUGCUCCCCUCCCAUGUCGAAGAGCUGAUGCGGAAGCUCCUGCUCGCGGAGCCCCCUAUCGACGUCCUCAUCUCCGACACCUUCAACGUGUGGCCUUCGACCUUGGCCAAGAAGUUUGGGCUGCCUUAUGUCUCCUUCUGGACCGAGGCGGCGCUUGUCUUCGCCAUCUACUACCACGUGCACCUCCUCGUCGAAUAUGGCCACUUUGGUUCUCCUACAGGUUGGUAUACAUCCUUUGC
rnacentral:lncRNA from 1 species